UACGAACCGUCCAAACGUUAUUCGGAAUUACUGGGCUUAAAGGGUUUGUAGGCGGUCUUGUAAGUCGGGUGUGAAAUCCCUCGGCUCAACCGAGGAAUAGCGCUCGAAACUACAUGGCUUGAGGGAGACAGGGGUAAGCGGAACUGAUGGUGGAGCGGUGAAAUGCGUUGAUAUCAUCAGGAACACCGGUGGCGAAAGCGGCUUACUGGGUCUCUUCUGACGCUGAGAAACGAAAGCUAGGGUAGCGAACGGG
rnacentral:rRNA from 1 species